AAUCAAUGGGCUUAAAGUGCAGCAAGGGAGGUCUAGGUUGGACAUUAGGAAAAAGUUCCUAACUGUCAGGGUGGUUAAACACUGGAAUAAAUUGCCUAGGGAGGUUGUGGAAUCUCCAUCUCUGGAGAUAUUUAAGAGUAGGUUAGAUAAAUAUCUAUCAGGGAUGGUCUAGACAGUAUUUGGUCCUGCCAUGCGGGCAGGGGACUGGACUCUAUGACCUCUCGAGGUCCCUUCCAGUCCUAGAAUCUAUGAAUCUAUGAAUAAGUGGCAGGGGAUGUAUAGUAAUCUUGCUGACCUGCAUUUUCAAGGUGAAAGCAGAAAGGGGCCUCUCGGCUAGAUGAAUUGGGUACCUGCUGUGCACUGUAGGAAGCCUAAAUAAUGUUCUAGAUGCAACAAGGAUUUAUUGGGCACCAAUUUCUGAAAUAAUGUUCCAAAAAAAACACGAUACAUUUGUGCUUCCAUAGUCCUAUAAGCUAUACUGGCAUGUUAUUUUGUCUGUUAAUUCAUGGGUACAGUGUGUGUGCAGCACAGCUUAACUGUCACCUGACAACAUUCAUCUAAUUUCUUUCCAUUUUUACUUGGAAGAGAUUAUGGUGUGCAGUAUGGCAAUUUCCUGCUAAGAAGAAAGUACCAUGAUAAGCAGCACAACUGUACUAGUAAGCUCUGCACCACAUGGAUUUCUGGGGAGAGGUUUGAAUACAGCAGUAGAUAUAUCAGGUACUUGGUAACAUCUUUAGUAAGCAGCUGUUGGCAAAAUAGCUUGUGGCCUGGUACUCCUAAAAGAGGUGUCCCCCACCCUUCAGCAGUUGAGGAGCCCAAGGAGUGCAGAUUGAGGUCUGUGGGGUUGACUCACCAUGAGUGGGAGGCCCAGGAGGAGUUCUCUGUACAUCGUUAUACAGAGAUAUUUUGCAUGGACAAACAAAAAUUAAGAUAGAGGUGAUGUAUUGGCUGUCCCUGUGUUGUGGGUGUGGAUUCCUCAAGCUUAUUCGUAGGCACACUCUGAGCAAGCCUAGUAUAAUUCAGAGCAAUAUUGCGUCCUAGCUACGAUACAAGAGAAUAAUUUCUCCUACUAUUCUGCUCUUCUCCCCAGCACUGCAGUGUGGCCUACUUAUUAUCAGCUUCUUAUCUGUGCAACACAGAAUCUAGCCUUAACUCAAUCAUUAAGAAAGGGCAAUCUCAAUGCUGCCUUUAAAAAAGUAAACUAUUUAGUUAGAUUAAAUUCAUUAGACUGAAGGAUAAUUUUUCAAGGAAAAAGAACAGGAGUACUUGUGGCACCUUAGAGACUA
rnacentral:lncRNA from 1 species